CUACACAUGCAGUCGGACGGUAGCACAGAGAGCUUGCUCUCGGGUGACGAGUGGGGGACGGGUGAGUAAUGUGUGGGGAUCUGCCCGAUAGAGGGGGAUAACCACUGGAAACGGUGGGUAAUACCGCAUAUCGUCGCAAGACCAAAGAGGGGGACCUUCGGGCCUCUCACUAUCGGAUGAACCCAGAUGGGAUUAUCUAGUAGGCGGGGUAAUGGGCCACCUAUGCGACGAUCCCUAUCUGGUCUGAGAGGAUGACCAGCCACACUGGAACUGAGACACGGUCCAGACUCCUACGGGAGGCAGCAGUGGGGAAUAUUGCACAAUGGGCGCAAGCCUGAUGCAGCCAUGCCGCGUGUAUGAAAAAAGCCUUCGGGUUGUAAAGUACUUUCAGCGGGGAGGAAAGCGGUGCGGUUAAUAACCGCGCCGAUUGACGUUACCCGCAGAAAAAACACCGGCUAACUCCGUGCCAGCAGCCGCGGUAAUACGGAGGGUGCGAGCGUUAAUCGGAAUUACUGGGCGUAAAGCGCACGCAGGCGGUCUGUGAAGUCAGAUGUGAAAUCCCCGGGCUUAACCUGGGAACUGCGUUUGAAACUGUGAGGCUUGAGUCUUGUAAGGGGGGUAGAAUUCCAGGUGUAUCGGUGAAAUGCGUAUAGAUCUGGAGGAUACCGGUGGCGAAAGCGGCCCCUGUACAAGACUGACGCUCACGUGCGAAGCGUGGGAGCAACAGGAUUUAUACCCUGGAGUCCACGCCGUAAACGAUGUCACUUGAGGUGUUCCCUGAGAGUGGUUCCGAGCUAUGCGUAAGUCGACCCCUGGGAGUACGGCGCAGGUAUAACUCAAUGAUUGACGGGG
rnacentral:rRNA from 1 species